rnacentral:rRNA from 1 species
UACAUAGACCUCAAGCGUUGUCCGGAAUUACUGGGCGUAAAGCGUGCGCAGGCGGUGAUGUAAGACAGUUGGGAAAUCCCCGGGCUCAACCUGGGAACUGCAUCUGUGACUGCAUCGCUGGAGUGCGGCAGAGGGGGAUGGAAUUCCGCGUGUAGCAGUGAAAUGCGUAGAUAUGCGGAGGAACACCGAUGGCGAAGGCAAUCCCCUGGGCCUGCACUGACGCUCAUGCACGAAAGCGUGGGGAGCAAACAGG